UGAGCCCCGCCCCUCCUCUCGCCGCGCCCCGCCCCACGGCUCGCAGAGGUCCGGAGCUUUCCCGUCAGCAAUGAGUCAAGACCGGAAGUCUGGGAAAGGGUGCUCUCAGUUCCCGACAGCGGGGGCUGGACAAGACGGAGACGGUACUGGCAAUACGUCGGUUGAAGGGAAGCGGAGCGGAGCACGCGCGGGCUGUGACGAGGGAGCGGAGAAACAGCUGUCCCGUUAGCCUCGUGUUGACGUCCCGGGUUCAGCCCCAGGAGGACGAAAAGACUGUGCCGUGUCCUUCCCGAGGGGAGUGGCGUUCCCAUUGACCUGCAUACCUCACCUCAUACUCGUGCGUGGACGUGUUCCAGCCAAGUCCCGUUCACUCCAGCUCCUCCGUCUCCACCCUAAUCCUAAUUAUUGGUGUUUCGUUUGAAAGGGUUCUGUGAAUUUGUCAAGCAGGAAAAUUUGGGGUCCGACAGAAUUAAGCAAUUCUCUUUAAUUAAAUAGCUUGCGGAGUCUUUAAUUUGUUAAUAUGCAUUUUUCUAAUCGUAACUAACUUUUGCUUUACAUUUACUUUUUUUUUUGAGACGGAGUUUGGCUCUUGGCUCUUGUUGCCCAGCCUGGAGUGCAAUGGCGCGAUCUCCGCUCACUGCAACCUCCGCCUCCCAGGUGCAAGCGAUUCUCCUGGCUCAGCCUCCCGAGUAGCUGGGAUUUCAGGCAUGUGCCACCACGC
rnacentral:lncRNA from 10 species